CAAGCAAAACAAAGCCCAACGAAAGCAGCUGGAACCCAAACAAACAGACUUGGGUGUUGAUCCAAACAGCACAUCCUGCAUGCUGGUCUCAGAGUCUGCUUCCUGGUACCCAACCUAUGGCUCAAUAAAUGUUAGCUGCCAUCGUCAUCAUCCAAAAGCAUCCUAGGUGGAAGCAAUGUCACUCCCGAGAUGGCCGCCCAAUGGUGACACUCAUUAUGUCCAAGAAACAUAGAUGAAAUCCAUAACUGCUCAGGAGAUUAACUGGGGUGCUGCAGUAUGACCUGGGUACCUGCCCCUCAAUCUUCCUGACAGGGACAGUUUGUGCCUUGACUCCAGGCGCCACCUUCCAGCUGAUCCCCUUAGCUUGGCUUCACCUCUGAGCCCUGUUGCCACACUGUUAGGAGAGAAGGCUGCUAUGGCAGAGAGAGAAUGAGAUACGUGAAUGUGUGUAA